CAGAGUAAAAGUUCAAGCGUUGCUUAAUGCGUAGUGCUUUACAGACGGGGAGUUGCUGUAAGGACGAAUGGAUUUUCCUGCGGUUUGAACUUUGCAUCCCGCUGU
rnacentral:ncRNA from 1 species